UGGUCAAUGGCCUAACGGCUGAACCAGCAACUUGGAAGAAUGUAUAGCUUCGGCUUGUCAUAUUUAAGCUAUAUAGGUUUAAUUUCAUAAAAGAAGUACUUGAAAUUAAAAAUAUAUUAGAACCCAAGUAACUGAUUAAAAUAGUUAUUAGUUAUUUUUUCCGUCAGUUAAAUCUUGGCACACUAAAUAUGAUCUCGACUAUGUCGAAUAAUGGUCUAGGUGAGAAUUCUGAUAAUGACAGUAUUUCAUCUAAUAGUCUUGACCAAAUUACGUGCCAGCAGUCGCGGUAAUACGUAGAAGACUAGUGUUAUUCAUCUUUAAUAGGUUUAAAGGGUACCUAGACAGCCUGAUUAGCCUACAAUAAGGAACGGUUAGAGCUAGAGUUUUAUAGGAGGAGGGGAGUAUUGAUGGAGGAGAGAUGAAAUUCUUUGAUACCAUACAGACUGGUAAAGGCGAAAGCAACCUUUUAUCUAAUAACUGACGUUGAGGGACGAAGGCUUGGGUCACGAACAGGAUUAGAUACCCUAGUAGUCCUUGCAGACAAUUAUGAAUGUCAUAGACUAGAGGAUUUAUUUUAGUUUAUAAAUGAAAGUGUAAGCAUUCCACCUCAAGAGUAAUGUGGCAACGCAGGAACUGAAACCAUUAGACCGUUUCUGAAACCAGUAGUGAAGUAUGUUAUUUAAUUCGAUGAUCCUCGAAAAACCUUACCACAACUUGAAUAUUAUCUAUUGUUUAUCCUUUAGAUAUUACAAGCGUUGCACGGCUGUCUUCAGUUAAUGUCGUGAGAUUUUGGUUAGCUCCAUAAAAUUAACGAAAACCCUUGUUUUAUUUAUAAAUAUUUUGAAUAGAGCAGAUCGCCACUAUAUUGGAUAUGAUAAGAGGGACCAAGACAAGUCAACAUGGCCUUAAUGUUGUGGGCUA
rnacentral:rRNA from 2 species